AGAGGGAGGAGUUAAGGAGACAGACAGAGAGAGAGAGAGAUCUGAGGAGAAGAGGGAGAACCAAAAUGGAGGCUGACGUGGUGUUAUCAAAGGAUAUGUGCAAGAUGAGAGCCAGCCAUCGUCUCCUGAUAGUGGAGAUUUGAUCUGAAGCAUUCAAAUAGGAAAUGAAUGCUCAGAGGAAGCUUCAAAUUUCUUUCUACUUGAAGAAGCUGAAUUGCAGAAGCUAUCUCUGUCCUGUUAAUCACCGGGUCCACAGUGAAACCAGCCAACUUCAGAGAAGACUCUUGUGCUGCGUGACCCCUGACUGUAACCAAGUGUCCUUCUCUCUGAGACGUUCCCUCGGAGCUUGUUCUCACAGCCCUCACCUCCAGUGACCUCCACGAACUUUUCCACACGAGGGGUUCUCUGCUUCCCUCCAUCUGAGCUGCGCAAUUCCACCAGGCCUUUUGCUCCUCUUCAGUCAGGUGCUUUGGAGGUAAUGAAGUCUUUCGGGGGAAAAAUAAACAAAGGAAAUGCACCCGGUUGAUGUCAAUGGACUUGUUUAACUAUUUAAGGCCACUGUCUCCAAGUGUAAGUGUGCUGCGGUGUGUUUUGUAAAGUAGCGCUUAUAAUCCACUGAGCUUUCCAAACAGCCCUCUUGCCUAUUAAGCCUGCAUUGAGAAGUGGGUUUAAUUUGCCAGAGUAGUUUUUUGUGAUAAUUACAGGACUUGCAGAUUAGCUUGAGUGACUUGGCAAGGUUCUGUAGCUAAUAAAAAAUCACACAGGAAAAAAAUUGUAACAUUCAAUUGCUUCAAGGUUCUUCACGAGAGAAACAUUAAACAAACCUGAUAGGCCAGUUUCCAGUCUGUGAAGUAGCAGAGAUAAAAUAGAGAUUUUAAAAGAUGUUUACUCGGGAGUAACAGAGGGGAUUGUUUGCUAGCUGCGGGAAGGAUUAGAACUGCCCAGCCUUUGGGCUAGUAAAGGUGUAUUAAAAGUAACUGGUGUGUGUGGGGAGGGUGGGGUGAAGCGAGCACAUGUGACCAUCCGGGAGCAACGUGGUUAGCCAAAGUACCGCUACACAUGCCUGUUUGUGGUCCUAGAAUUUGGAAAGGGGGAGGGAGCUUGAAAAGUUAGAUAUCAAUGCUCUCUCUCUCUCUCUCUCUCUCUCUCUCUCUCUCUCUCUGUGUGUGUGUGUGUGUGUGUGUGUGUAUAGAACCCGUUUUUAAUCCCAGCACUCAAGAGGCAGAAGCAGAGGGAGGUGGUCUCUGAAUUUGAGGCCAGCCUGGUUUACACAAUAUAUUCCAGGUCAGCCAGAGCUACAAAAAUCAUCUUGAAAACCCUAAAGAGGUCUGGUGAGAUGGCUUAGUGGUUGGGAGCACUGACUGCUCUUCCAGGGGUCCUGAGUUCAAUUCCCACCAACCACAUGGUGGCUUACUGUAAUGGGAUCCAGUGCCCUCUUCUGGGGUGUCUGAAGACGGCAACUGUGUACUCACAUGCAUACAAAUACAUAAAUAAAUAAAUUGUUUAAAAAGUUGACUAUAUAUAAAAAAAGGGGGGGGGAGAAAUCCUAAGGAAAAAAGAAAAAAGAAAAGAAAAAUUUGAGGUCAGUUUGAAAACCCUCUUAAAGAAGAUUAGGGGAAAAAAAGUAAACAAAGGCUGGGGGUGUAGUUUGGUUGGUACAGUGCUGGCCAGCAGCCAGAAUGUCCUGGAUUCAGCUAAUCUUUUGGUUGCCAAAACCAGGCAUGGUGAAAGAGCUCUAGCCAGCAGCCAUGGGUGUGGGAGGAUCAGAAGUUCAAGGUCAUUCGCAGACUUCGUGGAGAGUUUGAGGCUACUCUGGGCUUUAAGAGACCCUGACCCUGUCUCAAAAUAAACAAAAGAGAAAUAUCAAAAAAUAAAAUAUUUCAGAGAAAUAACUAAGUUUCUUAUAAAAAUUAAUUCAUACAUCUUAUGCAUAUGAAUAUUUUGUAUGUACGUCUAUUUGUCACAUUCUUGCUUGGUGCCCCAGAAGGCCAGAAGAGUUCAUCAGAUCCUCGGGAUCUGGAGUUACAGAUGGUUAUGAGCCACCAUGUGGGUGCUUGGAAUUGAACUUGGGCCCUAUGGAAGAACAGCCAGUACACUUAAUCACUGAGCCAUCUCCCCAGACCCCUAAAUAUCUUAUUGCACAAACUCUCAUUAAGUCUUUAAGCAUGACCAUGCUACAAGUUUUGCCUUCCACAGAUAGUUACUGUUUUACUCUGAUUAUCUACUGCAAUCUGCUCUGAGCAAUACUCCACACACACACACACACACACACAAAAAUAAUAAUAAAUAAAAUAACUGUCAGUGAGCUGGCAAGGCGGUAUAUGUCUGCAUCGUCAGGACUCAGGAAGCAGUGGCAGGUACAUGGCGAGUUUGGAGCUAGCUUGGACUAUACACAGAGUUCUAGGCCAGCCUACGCUAUAGCUCUAGAAUGAACUCCUGCUUUCAAAAGCAGGGAAUGUUUCAGAGACUCAAGGAAAGGAACUUGGCAGGCAGGCACCCAGGGUUCACAGUGUGGUGGCUGUGAGCCUGGCCCCUACAGUUAGGACUUCCAACUACAGCAAGAAGCUCAUUCAUCUUAUAAAGCUGCUGCCUUGAGGUCAAGCGGAGCAAGCACAGGCUAACUGCCUUGCAGUGGGCAACUGAUGAAGGGGGAUUAUUGCCUUUAGUUUGGGUAUUUUUUAAUUCUUUGAUGUUUUGUAGCGGAGGUGGGGGAGGGAGUUAUAAGGAACUUUUUUUUUUAAUCCUAAGCUAUCUAUAACUCAUGGCAAUGAUUAUACCUUUGUAAACAGAAAUGAAACACAUUUUUCUCUUUGCUUGAUCCUUUCCAAAUUCAGAAAUUCUGAUUGAAUAUUCCUAUUUCCAUGGUAAUCUUAUUAUUUGCAACACAUUCAGUGAGAACGCGUCCCCUUUGUGACAGAGUAUAACAGGAAAGUGGUAGAAACAUCAGAUAUGACCACACGGUUAUAAUAACUUACUGCAGAACUGGGCGAGGUGACCUUAGGUUAGGGUCGCCUCCCCUAAUGCACCUCCCUGACAAAGCACCCAACAGGGAUCAGACAGGUUAAGGGAGUUUGAAAGUGUAUUCAGGAGAAGGGCAGUGUAUCUUUUGUGCCACCUAGGAAAAGAAGCAUUCAAGAGAAAGAACUAGUCCCAAGCCUUGUUCUGGUAUGGCUUCCUAGUGUCAAGGGGCUUUGUGUGUAGUAUCUGUGUGUGUUAUUCACACAAAGGCCAGAAGACUACAUACAGAAAUCAACUCUCUCUUUCUACUGAACUCAGGUCAUCAAGCUUGGUGGCAGACAUCUUCAAUCACUGAGCCAAGUCUGGUCCCAUAGUAUUUUUUACGAACGAGCCUGAAAUUCACAGAUCCGACUGUGUUGGCUGGCCAGGCAUGUCCAUGGAUCCCCCUGUGUCUGCCCUGACAGAACUGGGCUUACAAGCUACCUUGCCCAACUUUUACGUGGAUGCUGGGGAUUUCAGUUUAGGGUCUCACAUUUGCAUAGCAAGAACUUUACCUCACUGAGCCGUUUCCCUGACUUCCUAGGAAGCAUUUAAAAAAUAUAGUCUGAAUCCAUAUGGAAAAUACCAGCCAAGAAAACUCUAAAUACCAAUGUGGCUCUGUACCAUUUGUGUUUUAUUGAUGUAGUGACCAGGACAACUCUAAUUAGACCAGAAUUAUUUUGCAAACAGUAUCAGAGUAGAGUAACCACACAUGUGUCACAGGAAAUUGUCCCUGGGCUGCACUGGGUCUUCCUGCUUUGAAGGGGGUAGUGGGGAAAAGGUGGACAGAGGUUCUCUCUCUGGAAUGAACUUUAUAGUCAGGCUUCCUGUCAAGUUCUCUUCUUUAGCAGGCUGUCCCCAGGUUCCUAACCUGCACUCAUUGUUCUAAGAAUUAAGUUGAGUCAUUCAGAGGCAAUCUGACUAUCUAAUUAAAUUCCUCCUUCUGUCCUUUUGGCACCUGAUAACUAUAGCCCAUCUUCUACAAGAAUCCUACUGAGUCAGUUUAACUAGGAGCCCUUGAUGUAAUUUUCCAUUCUCUGGCCUUUCUGUUCACAGAAGCACUCACUCUUUGGUUAUGAAUCCUGCCCUUGUUGUGUUUGGAGGAGAGCCCAGUCUUCUCCCCACUUGUAAUAAUCUUGACACCUUUCACAGUGGUUCUGAACAAAGUCUUUUAUACACUUAGCAUGUGUCAAUAUUUUCUUUAGCAGGACUUUGGGUCCCUAACCUGCAACUCAGCACUCAGUCCAUCAUGGGCUUUGCUAGUCUCUGUGACUUCUCCAGGGCAGGAAAGUGACAGGUUUCUGCGCAAGGGAGCCCGAGGUACCUGGUUCAGGAUGGAGAGGGCACUUGAGAGGCGUCAAAAGCAAGCACAGUUAGAGGACAUCAGCGAUGUUAAAACCCCACGAGGGUCAACAGUAGCCCAGGCAAAAUAAAGGAGCCUGAAGUGGAAAAACAGAAAUGGAACAAGACGUUUGUUCUGGAGCACGUGAGAUUGUCCUUCUAAGACAUUUCCAGAAGUAUUCAAAGGAAGAUUUAAUGGGAAAUCAUUAUGCAAAAGAGUCAGUAAUAUAUUUUAGUUUCAAAAAGUACGGAGCGUGACGCCUGUCAAUUAUACCUUCUGCAAAGGUGAGUGGCGGUUGUCCUUGCUGUUCCAAAAUGCAAAGAGAAACAAACAAACAAACAAACAAGCAAACCAGCUACUCCUAUUCCGCACUCCAAACACCAAGCAGAAAUGCUUCUGGGACAAACUGAGCUUCAUUCUUUAUGAAAAUGAAAACACUUCUUUCUGUGCACUAGGAAAAUGUUCUGCCUCUGAGCUGCAAAACCAGCACCAAACUUGAAAAGUUUGUGCAUCAAAGGAAAAAGGCAACCUACAGGAUGGGGGAGAAUAUUUGCAGGACACAUGUCCUGGAAGGAAUACAUAUUUAGACUGAAUAAAAUGAGUAAGAGGAGGGAUAGGGAGUUCGUGUUCAAUGUUGAGAGCUUGGGACAGUUGAGAAAACGCUCCGGAGUGUUCUGCAGAUGAAUGAUGGUGACGACUGCAUCAGUGUGAAUGUCCUUAACGCCGUCAAAAAUUGGUUAUAAUGGCAAAUUUUAUGCUACAUAUGUUUUACUACAAUAAAAAUGCCAGGAAAAUCUAACUGCUCCAAAUCCUGAAUUUAUUAACCCAAUAAAUUAGGAGAUGGUUAUUGACCUAUAAAUGGAUUUGUCAAUUUUUAAAAUGAUUUCCUUUAAAUUGAAUUCUUUCCUAGAGCUUUAUUGUCUCUUCACAAACCAUUAAACACUUGUUAAAGUGUUCAGAGAGGGCUGAGAUGGAGGAGGAAGUGAAAACCAAACAAACAGAUGAGGGACCUUCCCCAAAUGAUGUCUGCUAACAGGCUUCUUGGGUAUUCUAUUUAUAUAGAUUUUACAAGUGUUUUAUUUGAGAGGAAAAAUCCCUAGACCUUACAUAGUACAAUGAACUUCUUAUGCCUGUCAGCUAGAUUUAUUAAUUUUUAACGAGGUGUAUUACUUUUAAAAGCUAUCUAUUUACUAUUGGGGGAGGGAGAAGGACAAAGGACAUCUUGCAGAAGUCUGGUCUCUCCUGCUAUGUGGGUUCUGGAGAUAGGAAAUCAGGCAGGUUGUCAGGCCUAGAAGCAAAGGCCUGUCUGCACUGAGCCAUCUUACUUGUCUUAUUUUGUUACUUUUGAUGACCUAUUUUAGACAUCACUAUUCUAUAGCCCUAAGUAUAACUUCAAGUAUGUAUCUUCCACAAUGACUUUAUGACCAUGAAAUCAAUUCAAGAAAUUUAACAUGUAUGCAGUUCUAUCCAGCGUACAUACAGAUUUCUCAUCCCCCCUUUUACUGUAGUUUAUAGAAAAAGCAAUUCUCUUCCAUAUCUAGAGUUUGACAAGGAAUAUGCAUUGCAUUUGGUUUCUGUGUUCUUUAAUCUCUUGUUGUACAGAACUUCAACCUUUCAUGACAGGUUGAACAAUUUUGGAUCAUACAGGCUGUCAUGGUUUGAAUAUGUUUGGCCCAGGGAGUGGUACUGUUAGGGGUGUGGUCUUCUUGGAAUAGGUGUGUCACCGUGGGCGUGGGCUUUAAGACCCUCAUCCUUAGCUUCUGGAAGUCAGUCUUCCACUAGCAACCUUCAGAUGAAGAUGUAGAACUCUCACCAUCUCCUGCACUAUACCUGCCUGGAUAUCGCCAUGUUCCUGCCUUGAUGAUUAUGGACUGAACCUCUGAACCUGUAAGCCAGCCCCAAUUAAAUUUGUCCUUAUAAGAGUUACCUUGGUCAUGGUGUCUGUUCACAGCAGUAAAACCCUAACUAAGACACAGGCCAAUUACAGAAUGUCUCUUUUUGGUGUGUGCAGUGUUAAAGUUUGAAGCACAAGCCUAAUGCUUGUUAGACAAGCACUCUACCGCUGCUCUACAUCAGCAGCUCAGUGUGCCUCUUGUCUUGAUGGGCUCAUUGUUUUUUAUGACCCAGUGCAUUGGGGUGAGCAGCUCACACAGGUACGAAGGGGUCCCUCUCAGAGCUUAACAUCAGGGAACUCAAUGUUGGUUUGUCUGUUCUAUUUCAGCUGAGCUAGUAUCUGGCAGUUCCCCACAACCCCCAUCAAGUUACCACUUUUUUCUUUGUAAUUGUAAUUUGCAAAGAAAUAUUUGCAAGAUUAAGUAAUAGACUACACAACGUGUUUUAGCUUCCACUGAGCAUUCAGCCUGAACUGUUUUAUAAAGUUAUGAAAUGAUAGAUUUCCAACUUAAUAAUUAUUUUAAAGACUUAUUUUAUUUUUAGUUCUGCAUGUAUGCCUGUGUGUGCACGUGUGUACCUAUGUAUCUGUAUGGUUAUGUGCACAUGAAUGCAGAUGUCCAAGGAGAAGAGGCCAGACACAUUGGAUCCCUGGUGCUCAAGUGGGAGGUGGCUGUCAGCUGCUGUAGGAAGGUGAUGGGAACUCAGCUUGAGUCCUUUGCAAGAACAGCAUGAGCUCUUAAACACAGAGCCACAUCUUCAGUCCCUCUCUUAUUUUUUUAAAAAUUAUUCUCUCUCUGUGUAUGUGUGUGUAUACAGAGGUCAGAGGAUCAUUUUUGUAAAAUUAGUUCUCUCUACCUUUUUUUGUGGGCUCUGGGGACUAAACUCAAGUUGUUGGGAUUUUGUGACAAGUGCUGUAUCCACUGAGCCCUCUCACAUGCCCUUAAAUGUUAUUUUAAAUAAUAGCAAAUGAGUACGUUCAAGCAUACGAGAAUAAGCAUGUCCUAUUGAUUUGAAUAUGCAAAAGUAUGCCAAUUUUUUAAAUCUCUAUUACCAAGUGGACAAGUAUUCCAUUUUAUCUCCAAAAGUAAAGAUUUCUUUUAGAUACAGUCAUGUGGAUUAUACAACUUGACUGAAGCCAUGUCUCCAAGAUACAUACCUAGAGGGUAAAGGGAAUGCUUUAAAGGAGCGUGAUUAUGAAUAUCCAAGCUGAAAAUAAACACUAAUUACUAACAAAAAGGAUUACUGAGAAAAAUAUGGGUUGGUUUUCAGUACUUGACUCUGUAAAGUUAUUUCUUUUCUUAUUUAGUUUUUAUUCAUAAUCAUAAACUUAACUUUGCCAUCCAGCUAGACUUGAAGGGGAAUGAGGAAAAUAUGGAACCCAAAGAACUUGAGCAGAGAUUACAGGGUAUUUCAAGCAGAUGGGGUAGGGAUGCUCUCCUGCGCUACAGAAGGAAUGGUUGGAUGGGUAAAAUGCCUGCAAGUCAAAAGAAAUUAGAGUUAUCCACAGUCGGAAAUGGUCUUGCUGGUCUUUCCAUUCCUGGACCCAAAACACUCCAUGGCUUCCACAAUGUUCAUGCCUUCUUUCACCUUCCCAGACACCACAUGCUUGCCAUCCAGCCACUUAGUCUUGGCAGUGCAGAUAAAAAACUGGGAACCGUUUGUGUUGGUCCAGUAUUUGCCAUGGACAAGAUGCCAGGACCUGUAUGCUUCAGGAUGAAGAUCUCAUCCUCAAAUUUCUCUCCAUAGAUGGAUCUGCCGCCAGUGCCAUUAUGGCAUGUAAAGUCACCACCCUGGCACAUGAAUCCUGGAAUAAUUCUGUGAAAGGAGGAACCCUUCUAGUAAAAUCCUUUCUCUCCAGUGCUCAGAGCAUGAAAGUUUCCCGCUGUCUUUGGAACUUUGUCUGCAAACAGCUGGAAGGAGACUCUUCAAGGGCUCGUCAUCGGCCGUGAUGUCAGAGAACACGGUGGGGUCGACUGUGGCUACAGCAAGAGGACCAACGGUACUGUUGCUCUAGCUACAGGAAUAAUCCUGGGCAGCACUUGUUGACCUUGGUCACUGUCAAGGGAAGAUCGGCUGUUCCCACUGAGGGCAUCUUGAUGGAUUAAGGUGAUCAGCUGAUCAAUGUGAGGGGACAGAUGGGAGCUAGGAACUGUCUCGGUACUGAGUCAUUUUUCAUCUAAUGUGCAAGAAACCCAAAGAGCACAUCAAACAGCGAACUACGCCUAAGCUAUCCAUGUUUCUCCUGCUUCUUCUGAGAGGGUGAUUUACACGUAGCUCAACACUCGAGUGUUGCAGUAUCGAGUGACUGCAACCAAACAAUGGAACAUGCAUCGUGCCUGUUGACAGAGCCUGCAGUUGGCUUGGAACCGGGACCAUGCUGCAUUCGACAUCGUUCCUGGUGGCUGACUUGUUCCCAUAGAAUUAAAUGCUAGGCAUCCAGAAGCUGACUGUGCAUCUGAUGGGCUCACUAACAUUCAGGAACAGGUUGGCCUCAGACUUCAUCAAUGGAAAGUGAGCUGAAGUCUUUCUGUUUACAAAUUUGCCAAUUUCCUUUGAGGAAGCUUGAUCACGGAGCUCUUCUGCAUCAGGUGAUUGAUGCCCUGCAGGUACUUCAAGCAACAUCAUGCAUAUCAAACCUGCCCUCUGCCUGGACUGUUUACAGCUGCCUUUUUGCUAGCUGAACUGCCUGACACUUCGGCUCAAAGACUCAUUUAUCACUGAGGGCGCAUGCCGUUAUCUGAGCACCUUCCGAAGCAUCACACGCCAUCUCUAGACUUCCUGGGAUUGUCUACGGAUACAACACUUGCUCUCAUAAGUUGGUUACAUAAACAUAAAAGAAUGAACUUUAAACUAAAAUUUCUGACUUUUAUCUCUUUGCAGUGUAGGCAUAGGACAAAAAAAAGAGCACGUUUGAAAGACUACAUUUUCAUGAAAUUGGAAAUGCUACAUGCAAGCUGCAGAUGCUGAUUGCAGAGUCAGAAGACAUGGCCGUCAGUGUUAGGACUCUGCCUUAUUCUGCUAUUUCUCCUUGACGACCUACAGUUUGCAUUGUGGGUGGCAUUCAUUAACGAGGGCAGUAAAAACAUGGAGAAAACAUUGCAAGCUCUCCUUCGUGUUUCGCUCACUGGCCAAGUAGCUAACCAACUAGGUGUUCAGGCUCCCAUGUGUCUCAAUAUGAUGUGGCUCCUUCCAGUAGCAACCAUCCUGAGCAGAGACCUUUGUUCUAAUUUAAAAAUUAGACAUGAUAUAGAGCUUACCACACAUUUUUCCCCCUGAAGAUUAAAGAUCUUCAUGAAGGUACUGGCUUAAAAGACAUCAACCCCAAGCCUUUCGAAGGAUAUGCACUUGAGAUUGCCAUACUCGAUGGUGCGUCCAAUUAACUUAGAAAUACCCUUGACAUUUCUCAUCCGUGAAGAGAAGCUUUAGGUGACAGUUUUCAUGGUGUGGGUACUCUCGGUGCCUAAUUUGCUUUUUUUUCUUGUUUUCAAGCCUGAAAGGGAAAUAGCCUUGGCUUUCAGCUCUGGAGCGCGAUGCCCUCCUUACGAGUAUUCAGCUACUGUCUGAACCAUUGUACUUGCCUUCCCCUCCAUACCCCUUUUUCCCCAAAGUCCCGUUGAUAGCUCAUU
rnacentral:lncRNA from 1 species